UACGUAGGGUGCGAGCGUUAAUCGGAAUUACUGGGCGUAAAGCGUGCGCAGGCGGUUGUGUAAGCCAGAUGUGAAAUCCCCGGGCUCAACCUGGGAACUGCAUUUGUGACUGCACAGCUGGAGUGCGGCAGAGGGGGAUGGAAUUCCGCGUGUAGCAGUGAAAUGCGUAGAUAUGCGGAGGAACACCGAUGGCGAAGGCAAUCCCCUGGGCCUGCACUGACGCUCAUGCACGAAAGCGUGGGGAGCAAACAGG
rnacentral:rRNA from 1 species